rnacentral:rRNA from 1 species
AACGAACGCUGGCGGCAGGCCUAAUACAUGCAAGUCGAACGCUCCGCAAGGAGAGUGGCAGACGGGUGAGUAACGCGUGGGAACCUUUCCAGUGGUACGGAAUAGCCCAGGGAAACUCGGGGUAAUACCGUAUAAGCCCUUACGGGAAAGAUUUAUCGCCAUUGGAUGGGCCCGCGUCGGAUUAGCUAGUUGGUGGGGUAAUGGCCUACCAAGGCGACGAUCCGUAGCUGGUCUGAGAGGAUGANCAGCCACACUGGGACUGAGACACGGCCCAGACUCCUACGGGAGGCAGCAGUAGGGAAUAUUGGACAAUGGGCGCAAGCCUGAUCCAGCCAUGCCGCGUGAGUGACGAAGGCCUUAGGGUUGUAAAGCUCUUUUGGCGGGAAGAUAAUGACGGUACCCGCAGAAUAAGCUCCGGCUAACUUCGUGCCAGCAGCCGCGGU